AGAAUCAACGCUGGCGGCGUGCCUAACACAUGCAAGUCGAACGAGAAAGUGGAGCAAUCCAUGAGUAAAGUGGCGCACGGGUGAGUAACACGUGACUAACCUACCCUUGAGUGGGGGAUAACCUAGGGAAACCUGGGCUAAUACCGCAUAAUAUCGAGAGAUCAAAGGAGCAAUUCGCUUAAGGAGGGGUCGCGGCUGAUUAGCUAGUUGGUGAGGUAAUGGCUCACCAAGGCUAUGAUCAGUA
rnacentral:rRNA from 1 species